GUGCCAGCCGCCGCGGUAAUACGGAAGGUCCGGGCGUUAUCCGGAUUUAUUGGGUUUAAAGGGAGCGUAGGCGGGCGUUUAAGUCAGCUGUGAAAAGCUGCGGCUCAACCGUAGUCGUGCAGUUGAUACUGGUAGCCUUGAGUGCGGUUGAGGCAGGCGGAAUUCGUGGUGUAGCGGUGAAAUGCUUAGAUAUCACGAAGAACCCCGAUUGCGAAGGCAGCCUGCCAAGCCGUUACUGACGUUCAUGCUCGAAGGUGCGGGUAUCAAACAGGAUUAGAUACCCUGGUAGUCCGCACGGUAAACGAUGGACACUCGCUGUUGGCGACAUACAGUCAGCGGCUUAGCGAAAGCGUUAAGUGUCCCACCUGGGGAGUACGCCGGCAACGGUGAAACUCAAAUGAAUUGACGG
rnacentral:rRNA from 1 species